UACGUAGGGUGCGAGCGUUUGUCCGGAAUUAUUGGGCGUAAAGAGCUCGUAGGCGGUUCGUCACGUCGGCUGUGAAAUCCCGAGGCUCAACCUCGGGUCUGCAGUCGAUACGGGCGGACUGGAGUACUGCAGGGGAGACUGGAAUUCCUGGUGUAGCGGUGAAAUGCGCAGAUAUCAGGAGGAACACCGGUGGCGAAGGCGGGGUCUCUGGGCAGUAACUGACGCUGAGGAGCGAAAGCGUGGGGGAGCGAACAGG
rnacentral:rRNA from 1 species